rnacentral:rRNA from 1 species
CUACGUGCCAGCAGCCGCGGUAAUACGUAGGGUGCGAGCGUUAAUCGGAAUUACUGGGCGUAAAGCGGGCGCAGACGGUUACUUAAGCAGGAUGUGAAAUCCCCGGGCUCAACCUGGGAACUGCGUUCUGAACUGGGUGACUAGAGUGUGUCAGAGGGAGGUAGAAUUCCACGUGUAGCAGUGAAAUGCGUAGAGAUGUGGAGGAAUACCGAUGGCGAAGGCAGCCUCCUGGGAUAACACUGACGUUCAUGCUCGAAAGCGUGGGUAGCAAACAGGAUUAGAUACCCUGGUAGUCCACGCCCUAAACGAUGUCAAUUAGCUGUUGGGCAACUUGAUUGCCUAGUAGCGUAGCUAACGCGUGAAAUUGACCGCCUGGGGAGUACGGUCGCAAGAUUAAAACUCAAAGGAAUUGACGGGGACCCGCACAAGCGGUGGAUGAUGUGGAUUAAUUCGAUGCAACGCGAAGAACCUUACCUGGUCUUGACAU